rnacentral:rRNA from 1 species
UGAAUACGAGAUGCUACGGCGUCGAAGCAGUCUAUGUCAUACUUCCAAGAAAAGCUCGCACUGUCAUAAACAAAUAAUGCCUGUACCAUAACCGACACAGGUGGGUAGGUAGAGUAUACUAAGGGGCGCGAGAUAACUCUCUCUAAGGAACUCGGCAAAAUGACUCCGUAACUUCGGGAGAAGGAGUGCCUUAUUUAUAAGGUUGCAAUAACAAGAUCCAAGCAACUGUUUAUCAAAAACACAGGUCUCCGCUAAGUCGUAAGACGAUGUAUGGGGGCUGACGCCUGCCCAGUGCCAGAAGGUUAAAGAAGUUGGUUAGCAUUCGCGAAGCUGAUAACUGAAGCCCUGGUGAACGGCGGCCGUAACAAUAACGGUCCUAAGGUAGCGAAAUUCCUUGUCGGGUAAGUUCCGACCCGCACGAAAGGCGUAAUGAUUUGGAUACUGUCUCGGAGAGGGGCUCGGUGAAAUAGACUUGUCUGUGAAGAUGCGGACUACCUGCACCAGGACAGAAAGACCCUAUGAAGCUUUACUGUAACUUGAGAUUGAAAUUGGACUUUACUUGCGCAGUAUAGGUGGGAGGCGUUGAUAAUAUUCUUGCGGGAUUAUUUGAGCCAUCAGUGAGAUACCACUCUUGUAAUGUUAGAUUUCUAACUUUGUAUCAUUAUCUGGUCAAAGGACAGUUUCAGGCGGGCAGUUUGACUGGGGCGGUCGCCUCCUAAACGGUAACGGAGGCGCACAAAGGUUUCCUCUGAACGGGUAGAAAUCGUAUCUAGAGUGUAAAGGCAUAAGGAAGCUUGACUGUGAGACCUACAAGUCGAGCAGGGACGAAAGUCGGUCUUAGUGAUCUGACGGUGCUGAGUGGAAAGGCCGUCACUCAACGGAUAAAAGUUACUCUAGGAUAACAGGCUGAUCUCCCCCAAGAGUUCACAUCGACUGGGAGGUUUGGCACCUCGAUGUCGGCUCAUCGCAUCCUGGGGCGGUAGUACGUCCCAAGGGUUGGGCUGUUCGCCCAUGAAAGCGGUACGCGAGCUGGGUUCAGAACGUCGUGAGACAGUUCGGUCCAUAUCCGGUGUAGGCGUUAGAAUAUUGAGAGGAGCCUUCUUUAGUACGAGAGGACCGAGAAGGACAUACCUCUGGUGUACCAGUUAUCGUGCCAACGGUAAACGCUGGGUAGCCAUGUAUGGAGUGGAUAACCGCUGAAAGCAUCUAAGUGGGAAGCCCACCUCAAGAUAAG